GGUCAGGUGGUGUAAUGGGUAACACCCCCGCUAUAUGCAGAAGCCCUGGGUUCAAUCCCCAGUCUGGCCA